rnacentral:rRNA from 1 species
UACGUAGGGUGCAAGCGUUAAUCGGAAUUACUGGGCGUAAAGCGUGCGCAGGCGGUUGUGCAAGACAGAUGUGAAAUCCCCGGGCUCAACCUGGGAAUUGCAUUUGUGACUGCACGGCUAGAGUGUGUCAGAGGGGGGUAGAAUUCCACGUGUAGCAGUGAAAUGCGUAGAGAUGUGGAGGAAUACCGAUGGCGAAGGCAAUCCCCGUGGGCCUGCACUGACGCUCAUGCACGAAAGCGUGGGGAGCAAACAGG